UCAUGGGGGCCCAGAAAUCAUGCUGCUGUCCUACAUAGCGGUAUAUUUUGAGAGGAUGUGCAGAAAAUUAAAGUUAAAUACAAAGUUUUUGCUACUCAUUCCAUUGAGAAGUGGAGUCUAUUUCCCCUCCCCUUGCAUCUGGGCUGACCUUAGUCACUUAUUUGACCAACAGAGUAGAGUAGAGGGAAAGUUAGGCCAGCUUCAGGGCUAGGCUUUAAGAGGAUUGGUAGCUUCUGCCUUGCUCCCUUGGAGCCCUGUGACAUUGUGAUAUAAUAAGACAUACAUAUUUGGUCUCUGACCCCAGUCACUCUGGCACAAUCUUCUAAACCCUUG
rnacentral:lncRNA from 1 species